rnacentral:lncRNA from 1 species
AGCCUUGUAACAAUGUUUUUAUUCAAGAAUAUUGGAUGAAUCUCAGUAAAAACAGCAAGCUUUGCAGCAUUUUAACUUGCUUUAUUCCCAUCCUUCUCUCUCCAGCUCCAUGAUAGCCUUCAAGCCAUACAGCUCACAACCACAGUAGCUGUGAAAACUACCAACCUAGCAACCACUGGAGGAAACAAAACAGGUUUAGAGCUCACCAAAAAGCCCAAGACUUGUCACUGUUAGACCUGUCAGUCAGCUACCUGGAAAAGCUCCAUUCUCCAGGAGACUGGCUAAGGAAGAAUGCGAUCUGUGGAAACAACAGAACUGGCAUCACCUGAGAGCUUGCAGAUACCACAGAAACUCCGGCCCUACCCAGAUGUACUAAAUGAGGUCCUCCGUGUUGCUAUGCUGAAUUCAACUGAAGAAGCUGAAGUAUUGCACCUUUACGCUACAUACUUUACAGUUCACAAAUACACUAUUUCAUGUAUGACUUGUCCUCUCUAAACUGAGAGAACAGACUAACCUGGGAGAAGCUGGAAUUUAAACUUUUAAAAUUAAUCGUGACAUCUUAGCUCAAGUAACUGUAACACAUGGUUUGACUGCCUUAGGAAAAUACAAAGCAGAAAAGCUUUAACUUUGAAAUUCAAGCAAAAAUAUUUGAGAAUACGUCUUCCACCUCAUACUCCCCAUGCACCCAGUAAUACUCCAGCUGCCUUCAGACUAUUAAAAGUCCCGAGGUCCCUUAAACCAGUUCCAAGUCCCCACCCCAAUCAAAGGACAAUG